CCCAGACUCCUACGGGAGGCAGCAGUGGGGAAUAUUGCACAAUGGGGGAAACCCUGAUGCAGCAACGCCGCGUGAGUGAAGAAGGUUUUCGGAUUGUAAAGCUCUGUUAGCAGGGAAGAGGAAGGACGGUACCUGCAGAGGAAGCCACGGCUAACUACGUGCCAGCAGCCGCGGUAAUACGUAGGGGGCGAGCGUUAUCCGGAAUUACUGGGUGUAAAGGGAGCGUAGACGGCGAGGUAAGCCUGAAGUGGAAGCCCGCGGCCCAACCGCGGAACUGCUUUGGGAACUGUUUUGCUGGAGUAUGGGAGGGGUAAGCGGAAUUCCUGGUGUAGCGGUGAAAUGCGUAGAUAUCAGGAGGAACACCGGUGGCGAAGGCGGCUUACUGGACCAUAACUGACGUUGAGGCUCGAAAGCGUGGGGAGCGAACAGGAUUAGAUACCCCUGUA
rnacentral:rRNA from 1 species